GACGAACGCUGGCGGCGUGCUUAACACAUGCAAGUCGUACGGUAAGGCCCUUUCGGGGGUACACGAGUGGCGAACGGGUGAGUAACACGGGAGUAACCUGCCCACAACUUUGGGAUAACGCUAGGAAACUGGUGCUAAUACUGGAUAUGUUCUCCUGCUGCAUGGUGGGGGUUGGAAAGCUCCGGCGGUUGUGGAUGGACUCGCGGCCUAUCAGCUUGUUGGUGGGGUAGUGGCCUACCAAGGCGGCGACGGGUAGCCGGCCUGAGAGGGUGACCGGCCACAUUGGGACUGAGAUACGGCCCAGACUCCUACGGGAGGCAGCAGUGGGGAAUAUUGCACAAUGGGCGCAAGCCUGAUGCAGCAACGCCGCGUGCGGGAUGACGGCCUUCGGGUUGUAAACCGCGUUCAGCAGGGACGAAGCUUUUUGUGACGGUACCUGCAGAAGAAGCACCGGCUAACUACGUG
rnacentral:rRNA from 1 species